ensembl:rRNA 5S_rRNA 5S ribosomal RNA
GACUAUGGACAUACCAUCCUAUACAGGCCCGAUAUUAUCUGUUCUCGGAAGCUAAGCAGGGUCGGUUCUGGUUGCUUACUUGGAUGGGAGACAGCCUGGGAAUACUGGGUGCUGUAGGCU